GUCACCCCUCAGAUAAAGGGAGACUACUAUACUCCUUAUUCUUUAGAUCUUCUUCACUUAAUUAACUUUCUUGAUCAGAGUGGCCUUAAUACUCCUCCUUUAUAUCCUCAUUAUCCACUGGUGUGUAACAAUCAUUCAUUACAUCAUAUGAUUUUGUGGAUCAGGCACUCAGGCCUGGCUUAGCUAGGCGAUUCCGCAGCAACUUGUACCAUGAAGUAAGACCACCCUGUGAGACUCAUCUGGUCGUGAGCCUGGUGGGAGGGCCCAAGAGAAGCUAGCAGGCCAAAGUUGCUGUGUUGACUGAGAAGACACACAGGAGUGCUACUAAUAAGAUUUGCUGCAUGUAGGGGAAAAAUAUUUUCAAAGCGGGAGCCAUCUCUAAGAAAAUCUACAGAGCACUAUCCCUCCCUGCCUGUGCUUACAUCAGAGCAAAACAUUCAGUUCCCCAAAAGCAUCACAGAAGUGUGACCUGUGCACAGCAAAAGAAACUUGGAAAGCUUCCUGUAUUUGAAGGGUAACAGCAAGUGGUACAGACAUGAGAGACCAGCAACAAUAGGAACACUCUGAAAGACUGCGUGCAGCACACUUCAAAAUUGUUCCAGAAACGGCAAGAAGAGUGGGAUGUUUGUCUGCUACCUCCUUGUUGGCAUCAGUGUAGGACUGCUGACCCUGCAGCAUUACUCCCUGUUGUAAAGCCGCCUGAAGCCACCUGUUAGUCCGACACUGCGGUCUAAGGACAUGAAGACAGACACAACAAUGGAGGAAGAGACAGAAUACAAACUCCUUUUCUGACAGAGCUACAGGACAUCUGUAAAGCUGAGCCAUAGCAGAUGAGGAAGAGUUGCCAAAUGCAGAGAAAAUUAAACAGUUAUGGAAGAUGCUGAAAGCACAAAGAAAGAGGUCUUGGCCCUUCACCUACAGGAAGCAGGGCACACUUCACGUAAGAGCAGGGAGCAAUCACACGCAUGAACACCCUGGAGACACACCCUCAUUUCGGAGGAUGCUUCUAAACGCUUGCAACUGCUCAAAUGAUAUAAAUGUAUCUGCUCUUCAUGGUGGGCUCCUGGAACCACAUCAGGAUUCACAUAAUGAAAUGACAUGGGCUGCACUCCUAGAUGGCUUCACAGUAAGAGCUGACUACACUACAAAGACCGACUGUGUGACUGGGAUUUGUGGCUUUGAGCCACAUGAUGUCAAUUCAACCUCCAAGAGGGGGAGGAGGCUAGAAAUUGAGUUCAAACUCAUGACCAAUGAAUCAAGUAAUCAUAGCUGUGUAAUGAAACUCCUCUACAAACUCU